rnacentral:rRNA from 1 species
CCUACGGGUGGCAGCAGUGGGGAAUCUUGCGCAAUGGGCGAAAGCCUGACGCAGCGACGCCGCGUGGGUGACGAAGGCCUUCGGGUUGUAAAGCCCUGUGGGGAGGAACGAACCGUCCGGGGGCCAAUACCCUCCGGGCCUGACGGUACCUCUUUAGCAAGCAUCGGCUAACUCUGUGCCAGCAGCCGCGGUAAGACAGAGGAUGCGAACGUUGUACGGAAUGAGUAGGCGUACCCGGCACGCUCGUGUGAAAGCCCUCUGCUCAACGGAGGAAGUGCACGGGAUACUGCGAGGCUGGAGUACAGAAGAGGACAGCGGAAUUCCCGGUGUAGAGGUGAAAUUCGUAGAUAUCGGGAGGAACACCAGUGGCGAAGGCGGCUGUCUGGGCUGAUACUGACACUGAGGCGCGAAAGCGUGGGAAGCAAACAGGAUUAGAUACCCCUGUAGUC